CUGGAAACUAAUAAGGGCGUAUGGUGGAUGCCUAGGGUGUGAAAGGCGAUGAAGGACGCGGCGUGGCGGCGAUAUGUUUCGGGGAGGUGCCAAGCAACCUUUGAUCCGGAAAUGUCCGAAUGGGGGAACCCCCCAGAGCGAAAUCUCUGGGAUUGCACAGCAAUGUGCGAAGCGAACCGUGGGAAGUGAAACAUCUCAGUACCACGAGGAAAAGAGACCAACAGGUAUUUCGUUAGUAGCGGCGAGCGAACACGAAUCUAGCCCAAACCGUAGAAUUUCUCAGACCAUUUAACUUUGUGUUGAAUGGUACGAGAAAUUCGCGGGGUUAUAAGGCAGUUGCGGCUUUAGUGCCAAGAAGUUACAAACCGUGAGAUAGUUGAAGCCGCUGGGAAGCGGCGCCCCAGAGGGUGAAAGCCCCGUAAACGAAAUCGAAACGGCUUCUUAAUUGUCCUUGAGUACCUCAAGACACGAAUAGCUUGAGCGAAUGUGCCGGAACUAACCGGUAAGGCUACAUACUUUCACACACCGAUAGUGAACUAGUACCGUGAGGGAAAGGUGAAAAGCACCCCGACAAGGGGAGUGAAAUAGAUCUGAAACCAUAUGUCUACAAAGAGUUGAAGAGGCCGGCUAUGUAUAGCCGUUGCCUCGACAGCGUGCCUAUUGAAGAAUGAGCUUGCGAGUUUAUGUAUGCCGCGCAUGGCUAAGGGCGAGAGCCCGGAGCCUCAGGGAAACCGAGUGUGAAUAGCGCGUUUGUGGUAUGCAUAAGACCCGAAGCCAGGUGAGUUACCCAUGUGCAGGGUGAACACUGGAGAAAUCCAGUGGGAGGCCCGAACCGGUGAGCCGUUCAAAACUCUCGGAUGACGUGUGGGUUGGAGUGAAAAGCUAAUCGAACCUGGUAAUAGCUGGUUCUCUCUGAAACAGCUUUUGGGCUGGCGUCGUAUUGAUUGAUCAGUGGGGGUAGAGCACUGGAAGGACAGAACAGGGAGCAAUCUCGUCUGUCCUAUCAAACUCCGAAUACCACUGGUGUUAUACGGCAGUUAGUACGUGGGGGCUAAGCUCCACCGUACAAAAGGAGAAGAGUCCUAGAUCUCAAGUUAAGGUCCCAAAAUCUACGUUAAGUGCAUCACAAGGAGGUGGAGAUUCACAGACAAUGAGGAUGUUGGCUUAGAAGCAGCCACCAUUGAAAGAAAGCGUAACAGCUCACUCAUCGAGAGUCUCUGCGCCGAAGAUAAUCGGGGCUCAAACGUAGUACCGAAACUGAGGAUUUGCGCGCAGCAUAAGUGGUAAGACCUAGACGGUCUUGUCCCUUAUGCUGCGCACAAGUGGUAAGAGAGCGUCCGCACUCGCGAUGAAGCCAAAGGGGCGACCCAUGGUGGAGUAGUGUGGAGUGAGAAUGCAAGCACAAGUAACCGCAAUGCGGGUGAGAUCCCCGCACGCCGAAAGCACAAGGUUUCCUACUCAACGGUGAUCAGAGUAGGGUUAGUCGGGCCUAAGGGAAUGACGAAAGUCGCACCCGAUGGACAUGAGGUUAAUAUUCCUCAACCGGCGCACGGGCUAUGGAGGGACGGAGCAUAUACACAGUGGCGCCUUAUUGGAUUGGCGUCUGCUGCCGAAGAUUUGUCUGGUAGGUAAAUCCGCCAGAUGCUAUCGAGGUAGUGGGGAACCCUAGAUUCGUCGAAGGGACUACUGUUAAGAGGCUUCCAAGAAAAACUUCUAAGCACCACCGUGCGUACGACCGUACCGCAAACCGACACAGGUGUGCAGCUCGAGUAGAGCAAGGCGAACGAAUGAGAGUACUCCAAGGAACUCGGCAAAAAAGCGGCCGUACCUUCGGUAUAAGGCCUGCCCUCGUCUAUUUAUUUAGAUUGGGGCCGCAGCUAAAGUAUCCCUGGCGACUGUUUACCAAAAACACAGCUUCCUGCGAACCCGUAAGGGGAUGUAUAGGAGGUGACACUUGACCAAUGCCAGAAGGUCAACCAUGGCCGUUCCAUUAAUCGCAAGAUUGAUGGGGUGACGCUAUGUAAGCCCUGGUGAAUGUCGGCGAUAACUAUAAUCGUCCUAAGGUAGCGAAAUUCCUUGUCAGGUAAGUUCUGACGCGCACGAAUAGUGUAACGACUGGGGAACUGUCUCGGAGUACCGUUCGGUGAAAAUACAAUACCGGUGAAGAUGCCGGUUACCUGCAGUUAGACGAAAAGACCCCGGAAGCUUUACUACAGCUUGAUAUUGCGUAUACGAGUUCGCUGCGUAGCAUAGGUGGGAGAGGUUUGACGGCAGGGAUUCCGGUUCUUGUCUACUCGUCCGUGAAAUACCACUCUGAGUUCUUGUAUGCGCUAACCGGCACGGCAAAACCGUGUCGAGACAGUAUCUGGUAGGUAGUUUUAGUGGGGCGCUAUCCUCCUAAAGAGUAACGGAGGAGUUCAUUAAGGUACCCUAGGCGCGAAUGGAAACCGUGCCGAUAGCGUAAUGGUAUAAGGGUGCUUGACUGCAAGUCGUGAAUGACGAGCAGGUGCGAAAGCAGGACAUAGUGAACCGACCAUAGGCAUUAGAUGCUGUGGAAGAUUAUCUGACAAAAGCUACUCCGGGGAUAACAGGCUAGUUCCGCCUAAGCGUCCAUAGCGACGGCGGAGUUCGGCACCUCGAUGUCGGCUCACCGUAUCCCGGGGGUGGAGAAGCUCCCAAGGGUUUGGCUGUUCGCCAAUUAAAACGGUACGCGAGCUGGGUUCAGACCGUCGUGAGACAGGUUGGUCUCCUAUCUACUGCAGGCGUUGAUUCUUGAGAAGAUUUGCUCCUAGUACGAGAGGACCGGAGUGAACUGACCGCUGGUCUACCAGCUCUGCCGCCAGGUGGAACGCUGGGUAGCUAAGUCGGGAUUGGAUAAGCGCUGAAAGCAUCUAAGCGCGAAGCCGGCUUCAAGAUGAGGAAUCGUUGAGAUUCGUGGGAGAUGACCACGUUGAUAGGCGCUAGGUGUAAGCAUGGCAACAUGUUGAGCCGAGGCGUACUAAUAAAUCGAGGUUUCCAAGC
rnacentral:rRNA from 1 species